ensembl:snoRNA
AGCACUUGAUCAGGUUUUGUCUUUUGCUGUAGACAAAAAACCUGGAACCUAGUGCUUAGAAAAAACCCUUCUUUUGCAACCCACAGCUGAUGAAUGUAUUAGUUGUGUUACUUAUAUGAAGGGACAGU